UACGAAGGGGGCUAGCGUUGUUCGGAAUUACUGGGCGUAAAGCGUAUGUAGGCGGAUCGUUAAGUCGGGGGUGAAAUCCCGAGGCUCAACCUCGGAACUGCCUUCGAUACUGGCGAUCUUCGAGUCCGGGAGAGGUGAGUGGAACUCCGAGUGUAGAGGUGAAAAUUCGUAGAUAUUCGGAAGAACACCAGUGGCGAAGGCGGCUCACUGGCCCGGUACUGACG
rnacentral:rRNA from 1 species